AUAAAGUGGAGGAUUUAAUUGAUUUGUUUUUGGUAAAAUGUUUGGUGAGAAGGGAUUUAAAAUAAAGGGCACCUCUAAAAAUGAUAUUUGGUUUUACAGGAAUCAUCUCUUUUAGGACAUCAUCAUGUUGUAAGACAUGCCAAUGUUUUUCAAUUAUUUUUUUUAUUUCUCUAUUUUUGUUCUUGUAGUCGAAUGUAAUUGGAAUAGACGGAAUGGUCUUUUUAUUGAUGGUACUUUUAUCUCUAUAUGUGAGAAGGCUGUCUC